rnacentral:tRNA from 1 species
AAGGAUUUAAGUUAAAAAAACUAGUAACCUUCAAAGUUAAAAAUAGGAUUUUCCUAAACCUUA